rnacentral:tRNA from 1 species
GCCUCCAUAGCUUAGCCAGCUAAAGCGCGAGUUUCGUAAACUCGAGAUCAAGGGUGCAAAUCCCUUUGGGGGCU